rnacentral:lncRNA from 1 species
CCUUAAUGCAUUUUGUCUUCCACAAUACCCACAUACCCACACACACACAUACAGCUAAAAGGACGAGAGGGGAGAGGAAAUGUUUGGAGCAAGAAAAAGGAAUGAACUGGAAUAUGAAGGAUGCAAAGCAUCAGUUUAUGCAGAGCUGACCUCCUUCAAAACUUCACUUGAACAAGGCUAAGUGCACUUCUUUUUUUGAGAAAUAUUUACAUUCUGAAAAGAAAGAGAACAAAUGAAGUAUAUUUUAAACCAAGCAUGGAAACAUUAAAAAUCACAAAGGCCUCCACAUGAAGCAAAAUACUUUCUUGUGGUUAAGCAAUAUAGUACUAUUUGAAAAAUAUAUAUCUCAUUAAGAUCCAGCCAUGAAAGGGAGAACAAAAGAGGAAAAUGCCUUGAACAGAAUAACUCUCAACAGAUGGAUAUUGAUUACUAGAGAGCCAGUGAACAACACACCAGGCAGCAAAAGCAGCUCUCCUACGGCCAUGUCACGUGCACGGCUGAAAUGCAAGAUCUCGGAAGCUGCAGCAGAUCAGCUGAAGCUGAGUGCAGGUGAAAGACACUCUUACUGAAGUGCCGUCAUUAGCCCUGUUACAACCUAGAAGCUAAAGGCCGGGUCAGGCCUCGGCAUAUGGACAACACUAUAAGAAGGACUAAGACACAAUCUCUCUCAUGUGUGGAAAACAGUAAAGAUAAGCAGGCCGCCUCUAAGAGAAGUGAGUUUGCUUUAUCUCGGCCUGUGCUCUGAAGUCCGAGAGGUUGUCUGAGGGGGAGAAAUGCCCAGGGCGGUGCAG